rnacentral:tmRNA from 1 species
GCACUGUCUUUCUCAACCUUUGCCCCCUAUAUUGGAGAUGCCGGCUUGCCGGCUAUGGAAAUAAAUGACCGUCGCAAUAAACCAUUCGGACCCGGGGGCAGUACCCGGCGCCUCCACCAAAGCCUGCCAAAGAAAAAGCCUGCCAAAAAUCAUGUCCGGCGGGCUUCGGCGGGGGCGAAAUAGGAUCGACGAGGGCGUAAAGGGCGUGUUUUUUCUCGGUAUGGUUCCGCCGAUAUCGGGCCAUGCAAUAGUUGCAAACGACAACUAUGCUCCGGUUGCUCAGGCUGCGUAACGCAGUUUGAAAGACCACUUUAAAGUCCUGGCGGGUUAAGCUCCGCUAGGCGGGGUUCGGAGGCACCUGGCAACAGAAGCCUCCACU